rnacentral:rRNA from 1 species
GAUGAAUGCUAGCAGUGCGCCUGAGAUAUGCAAGUCGAGCGUUGCCUUGAGAGAGCUUGCUCUUUUCGAGGAAGCGGCGGACGGCUGAGUAACACGUAGGUACUUACCCCUAGGUAAGGAAUAGCUCAUCGAAAGAUGGGGUAAUGCCUUAUGGUUCCACCUUUUUGGUGGAUAAAGUCUUCGGACGCCAAGGGAGAGACCUGCGGCCUAUCAGGUAGUUGGUGAGAUAAAAGCUUCACCAAGCCUAUGACGGGUAGCUGGCCUCAUGAGGGUGGUCAGCCAGAGGGGGACUGAGACACGGCCCCCACUCCUACGGGAGGCAGCAAUCAGGAAUCGUCGGCAAUGGGGGAAACCCUGACCGCGCGACACUGCGUGUAGGAUGAAGUUCGAAAGAGCGUAAACUACUGUGGUAGAGGAAGAAGAUCUGACGUAAGUCAGGUUUGACGGUACUCUACUAGAAAGGGGCCGCUAACUGCGUGCCAGAAGCGUCGGUAAUACGUGGGCCCCAAGCAUUAUCCGGUUUAAUUGGGCGUAAAGGGUCGUGUAGGUGGAUUUGUAAGUUAUCUUUAAAAUUCAGAGGCUCAACCUCUGGUCUGGGGGUAAGACUACAUAUCUAGAUUUUCUUUUAGGGUAAGCGGAACUGAGUGAGGAGUAGUGAAAUGCGUUGAUACACUCGGGAACACCAGUGGCGAAGGCGGCUUACUGGAAGGAAAAUGACACUGAGACACGAAAGCUAGGGUAGCGAAGCAGAUUAGAGACCUGCGUAGUCCUAGCCCUAAACGAAUGUUCGCUAGCUGCAUUGGCCUGCCUUCGGGCAGAACAGUGUGGCGUAGGUAACCCGUUAAGCGAACCGCCUGGGGAGUACGGCCGCAAGGCUAAAACUCAAAGGAAUUGGCGGGGAGGCACACAACCAGUGGAACAUGUGGCUUAAUUCGAGACAAACCGAAGAACCUCACCAGGGUUUGACAUGCAACUGCACGUCCUAUGAAAGUAGGAUUCCUUAGAGGGUGUUGCACAGGUGCUGCAUGGCUGUCGUCAGUUCGUUCCGUGAGGAGUGCCCUUAAGUGGGACAACGAACGCAACCCCCAUCGUAUGUUAUAAGUGUCAUACGAAACUGCCCAAGUCUGACUUGGGAGGAAGGAGGGGCAGAUGUCAAGUCAGCAUGGUCCUUAUACCCUGGGCUGCACACAUGUUACAAUGGGAAGGACAAUGGGUCUUGCAAACUCGCGAGAGUAAGCGAAUCCCACAAACCUUCUCUCAGUUGGGAUUGAAGUCUGCAAUUCGACUUCAUGAACUCGGAAUUGGUAGUAAUCGUGGAUCAGCUACGCCACGGUGAAUACGUUCUUGCCUCUUGCACACACCGCCCGUCAAGCCAACAAAGUCGGUUAUAUUUGAACCUCGUGAUUACACGGGGGAGAGUAUGAUCGGCGAUGAGGGUU